CCCCCAAAGCUAUUUAGGUAGCGCCUUAUGAAUUCAUCUUUGGGGGUAGAGCACUGUUUUGCUAAGGGUCCAUCUUGGAUUACUAAACCAAUGCAAACUACGAAUACUAAAGAAUGUUAUCAUGGGAGACACACGAUGGGUGCUAACGUCCAUCGUGAAAAGGGAAACAACCCAGACCGCCAGCUAAGGUCCCAAAAUCAGUUAAUAAAUUAGAAAACGAUGUGGGAAGUCAUAAACAACCAGGAUGUUGGCUUAGAAGCAGCCAUCAUUUAAAGAAAGCGUAAUAUCUCACUGGUCGAGUCAUCCUG
rnacentral:rRNA from 1 species